AUUGAACGCUGGCGGCAUGCCUUACACAUGCAAGUCGAACGGCAGCACGGGGGCAACCCUGGUGGCGAGUGGCGAACGGGUGAGUAAUACAUCGGAACGUGCCCUGAAGUGGGGGAUAACGCAGCGAAAGUUGCGCUAAUACCGCAUAUUCUGUGAGCAGGAAAGCGGGGGAUCGCAAGACCUCGCGCUUUAGGAGCGGCCGAUGUCGGAUUAGCUAGUUGGUAGGGUAAAAGCCUACCAAGGCAACGAUCCGUAGCGGGUCUGAGAGGAUGAUCCGCCACACUGGGACUGAGACACGGCCCAGACUCCUACGGGAGGCAGCAGUGGGGAAUUUUGGACAAUGGGGGCAACCCUGAUCCAGCCAUGCCGCGUGAGUGAAGAAGGCCUUCGGGUUGUAAAGCUCUUUUGUCGGGGAAGAAAUGGCUUGGGCUAAUACCCUGAGUCGAUGACGGUACCUGAAGAAUAAGCACCGGCUAACUACGUGCCAGCAGCCGC
rnacentral:rRNA from 1 species